CUGGCCUCAAAUCAGGUAGGACUACCCGCUGAACUUAAGCAUAUCAAUAAGCGGAGGAAAAGAAACUAACAAGGAUUCCCUUAGUAACGGCGAGUGAACCGGGAAGAGCUCAAAUUUGAAAUCUGGCUGUCUUCGAUAGUCCGAGUUGUAAUCUAUAGAAGCGUUUUCCGUGCUGAACUGUGUCUAAGUCCUCUGGAACGAGGUAUCAAAGAGGGUGACAAUCCCGUACUUGACACAAUCAUCAGUGCUCUGUGAUACGUUCUCUACGAGUCGAGUUGUUUGGGAAUGCAGCUCAAAAUGGGUGGUAAAUUCCAUCUAAAGCUAAAUAUUGGCGAGAGACCGAUAGCGAACAAGUACCGUGAGGGAAAGAUGAAAAGCACUUUGGAAAGAGAGUUAAACAGUACGUGAAAUUGUUAAAAGGGAAACGAUUGAAGUCAGUCGUGUUUAUUGGAUUCAGCCGGUCUUCGGUGUACUUCCUUUAAACGGGUCAACAUCAGUUUUGUUCGGUGGAUAAAGGCAGUAGGAAUGUGGCUCCCUCGGGAGUGUUAUAGCCUAUUGUCACAUACACUGGAGGAGACUGAGGACUGCAGCUCGCCUUUUUGGCCGGGGUUCGCCCACGUUCGAGCUAGGACUGCG
rnacentral:rRNA from 1 species